CUGUAAGCCUGUGAAGGUGGCCUGUGAGGGUUGCUGGAGGUAUCAGAAGUGCGAAUGCUGACAUAAGUAACGAUAAAGCGGGUGAAAAGCCCGCUCGCCGGAAGACCAAGGGUUCCUGUCCAACGUUAAUCGGGGCAGGGUGAGUCGACCCCUAAGGCGAGGCCGAAAGGCGUAGUCGAUGGGAAACGGGUUAAUAUUCCCGUACUUGGUGUUACUGCGAAGGGGGGACGGAGAAGGCUAUGUUGGCCGGGCGACGGUUGUCCCGGUUUAAGCGUGUAGGUGUGUGUUCCAGGUAAAUCCGGUUCACUUUAACACUGAGGCGUGAUGACGAGGCACUACGGUGCUGAAGCAACAAAUGCCC
rnacentral:rRNA from 1 species